rnacentral:rRNA from 1 species
ACUCCUACGGGAGGCAGCAGUAAGGAAUAUUGGUCAAUGGGGGCAACCCUGAACCAGCCAUGCCGCGUGCAGGAAGACGGCCCUCUGGGUUGUAAACUGCUUUUAUUCGGGAAUAAACCUAUCUACGUGUAGAUAGCUGAAUGUACCGAAGGAAUAAGGAUCGGCUAACUCCGUGCCAGCAGCCGCGGUAAUACGGAGGAUCCAAGCGUUAUCCGGAUUUAUUGGGUUUAAAGGGUGCGUAGGCGGCCCAUUAAGUCAGGGGUGAAAGACGGUAGCUCAACUAUCGCAGUGCCCUUGAUACUGAUGGGCUUGAAUGGACUAGAGGUAGGCGGAAUGUGACAAGUAGCGGUGAAAUGCAUAGAUAUGUCACAGAACACCGAUUGCGAAGGCAGCUUACUAUGGUCUUAUUGACGCUGAGGCACGAAAGCGUGGGGAUCAAACAGGAUUAGAUACCCUGGUAGUCCACGCCCUAAACGAUGAAUACUCGCUGUUGGCGAUACACAGUCAGCGGCUAAGCGAA